GGUGGCACCCAGUCUGCCUGAAGAGGGAGACCCAGGCAUCUCAGAUCAACUUCCCCUUUCUCCUAAGACUGUAAACUUCCCCUUUUCAUUCCUAAGACUGUAAACCGAAGCCCUUUUCAUAUGUAAUUCCUGAGACUGUAAACCGAGACCCUUUUCAUAUGUUAAGCUAUAAACCUAAGAUUCUUCCAUGUGUAACAUCUAAAGUAUAAGCCUAUAUACAGUUGGAACCUUCCUUUGUUAGGCGAGCUUGGCUGUUAGACAACUAUGCCACCUUGCUCCUGGACAAAUAAACUCCUUCCUCCUGUAUUCGGUGUCCGAGAGAUCUGUUUCCUGUGGCCACUUCUGCUACAUUUUUGGUGCGUUGGCUGGGAAGCGAGUCUCGGAUAGCAGACAGCAGGAAAAAGUCUCCCAGGUGGUUUGCCUAGCCCUGUGAUGCAUCCCUGCAGGGGCCUCCUGCUUGCUGGGGUGACGCAUCCUGAGAGCACUCCCAGGCAGGUAUUUGCCCAGUGGAAAAGCCUCACCAGAGCGGAGCAGGGGGGCCCUGCAGUGUGGAUCCACCCAGUAGCUGAACAGAGGAGGAACAAGCAUUUGGGGAAGUCUGGACAACUGAAUUUGUUCUCCCUUUCUCACUAGGCAAUCACGUGUGAAUAAAGGACGUGAGUACAGCCCCUCUAAAGCCACAAUGGAAAGGAACUCAGACCUGAUCCGGACCAAUCCCACAGCUGUGAAGGUAGAGGGAAUCCCAGCCUGAAUCCACCACAGCCACAUAAAAACCAGCAACAGCUGAGACUCAGACCAAGGCAAGGACUGCAGAAUCACCUUAAAAGGACAACAAGCCUUGCUCCAGCCACGUUCCGGAAGCUGGCUGGUCCACGCAUGGCCGAAGCAUGAAGAGAUUCAUCGUGGGACUUGUUCUUCUUAAUAUUUGGACUUGCACAGUAGGAGCAUUAAUUUUGAAGAAUGCCCUCAGUAUGUACACCAGGUGGGACAUAAAAGUUACUGCCAUUCUUUUGUCCUGCAGUUCUUAUAAAUGUACGGGGACACAGAAGGGAACCUGUUUAUAUAACAGUACUCAAUAUAAGGUGUGGAAUCCAUGAGACGGACAGGCAGCUGUGUCAAUAGGCCUCAUUAAGCCCUCUUUCUUCCUAUUAUCUGUUAAGAUAGGUGAGCUCUUAGGGCAUCCAGUUUACUGCAAUAGAGAGAAGAGAGACCUAAAACUAGGGAAUUGGACAGAUGAUGAGUGGCCACCGGAGAGAAUUAUUGAGAACUAUGGGCUGGCCACAUGGGCUAAAGAUGGCUCAUGGGGAUACCGGACCCCUAUUUACAUGCUCAACCGGAUCAUCCGGUUGCAGGCUGUUUUGGAAAUAUUCACUAAUGAAACGGGCAAAGCUCUGUCCCUCUUGGUCUGACAAGAAACUCAAAUGAGAAAUGCAAUUUAUCAGAACCGGCUGGCCCUAGAUUAUUUGCUAGCAGCCAAAGGGGGAGUCUGUGGAAAAUUCAAUCUAACCAACUGCCGUCCGCACCUAGAUGACCAGGGGCAAGCAGUGGAGGAUAUUGUACAAGACAGGACCAAACUGGCACACGUGCCUGUACAGGUAGGGCACAGAUUUAACCCUGAGUCCUUAUUUGGAGGUUGGUUCUCAUCCUUGGGAGGAUUCAAAACCCUCAUCAUAAGGGUAAUAAUAAUAAUAGGUGUUUGUUUACUGCUCUCUUGUCUACUCCCCCUGUUCCUUCAGAUGAUUGGGGGAUUCAUCACUACUGUAGUUAGCCAAAAAAUGACAUCAUAAGUGUAUUAUAUGAAACAUUAUCAGUUGGUUUCUUCAGAAAAUCUGGAAAGUGAGAAUGAAACUGAGACCUCUCACUAAUAUUAUAAAGUGAUGAGGGUCUCAAAGGUGGGGAUGAAGAGGGAGACCCAGGCAUCUCAGAUCAACUUCCCCUUUCUCCUAAGACCGUAAACUUCCCCUUAAGCUCUUUUCAUAUGUCAUUCCUGAGACUGUAAAUGAGAUCCUUUUCAUAUGUAAUUCCUAAGACUGUAAACUGAAACCCUUUUCAUAUAUAAUUCCUGAGACUGUAAACUGAGACCCUUUUCAUAUGUUAAGCUAUAAACCUAAGAUUCUUCCACGUGUAACAUCUAAAGUAAAAGCCUAUAUAAAGAUGGAACCUUCCUUUGUUAGGCGAGCUUGGCUGUUACGCAACUAUGCCACCUUGUUCCUGGCUGAAUAAACUCCUUCCUUCUGUA